rnacentral:rRNA from 1 species
ACACUAUCAUUAACUGAAUCCAUAGGUUAAUGAGGCGAACCGGGGGAACUGAAACAUCUAAGUACCCCGAGGAAAAGAAAUCAACCGAGAUUCCCCCAGUAGCGGCGAGCGAACGGGGAGCAGCCCAGAGCCUGAAUCAGUGUGUGUGUUAGUGGAAGCGUCUGGAAAGGCGCGCGAUACAGGGUGACAGCCCCGUACACAAAAAUGCACAUGCUGUGAGCUCGAUGAGUAGGGCGGGACACGUGGUAUCCUGUCUGAAUAUGGGGGGACCAUCCUCCAAGGCUAAAUACUCCUGACUGACCGAUAGUGAACCAGUACCGUGAGGGAAAGGCGAAAAGAACCCCGGCGAGGGGAGUGAAAAAGAACCUGAAACCGU